rnacentral:rRNA from 1 species
GACGUAGGAGGCGAGCGUUGUCCGGAUUUAUUGGGCGUAAAGAGCGUGUAGGCGGCUGGGUAGGUCCGCUGUGAAAACUCGAGGCUUAACCUCGAGACGUCGGUGGAAACCAUCCAGCUAGAGUCCGGAAGAGGAGAGUGGAAUUCCUGGUGUAGCGGUGAAAUGCGCAGAUAUCAGGAAGAACACCCGUGGCGAAAGCGGCUCUCUGGGACGGUACUGACGCUGAGACGCGAAAGCGUGGGGAGCGAACAGG